rnacentral:misc_RNA from 1 species
CAAAAUGUGCCUACAUCAAACUUGUUUUUUCUACUAUACACAAAAGGGGGGGAAAAAAUAGCAAAUUCAACUGUUUGCUGUCCCUAAGUUUAUGCCAACUAUGACUGACUGAACUAAAACUUUUUCUUUCACCUAUUAUGACUAAUUCCCUAUGUAGAUUUGAGAAUAUACAUGACAACAUAUUUCUGUUACAAACAAUGUUUGUUGCUAUAUAAACUAUAUAACCACUCUCCAGGCAAACAUCCUUUCUAACAAGCCUAAAGCAUCUAAAGGAUUGUAAUAUUUCUUUCUUGAUGAGAGAAGCCCAACUCCUCCUCCGCUCCUCGAGCUUGGAAUAUGUCAAUCCUUCAAGUUUUAUGUACAUUUCAGAGAUUCAUUCCCUGAAAAAGAAUGCAGUCGAAUCCAAGUGGUGGACACCAAGAUAUUGAACAAGUAUCUAACCUUGCAGAAGUAAUCGUGCUUGGGACAUAGAGAACUCACAGUUGGAAAAAAAGAAAGUGUGAACGACCUUGAGGCACCAUGAAGUCGAUGGCAUUUCUACUCGAGGUUGAUCGUAAGAAUUCAUCAGGAAUGCUCUUCAGGUAUUCUGAGUUGGCUUGAUCUGGAAAAAGCGUGAUACUUCUUCAUAAAGCUGCUCAGCCUCAAAUGGCUUUGAAACAUAACCAUCCAUUCCACAUUUUUGACACAGUUCAUUUGUAGCUUGAAUUACGUCAGCAGUCAUGGCCAGAAUGGGCACUUUCCAGCUUGAAACAUUUCCGUAUGCUUCAGGAGGUAGUUGCCCAAGUUUGAUACGGCUAUUGAUAUCAGAUUCCAUUUCGCGGAUUAUUUUUGUAGCCUGAAACCCAUCCAUUUCUGGCAUCUGAAUAUCCAUGAAACAGGCAUCAAAUUGAUGAGGUGGUUGUAAAAAAGUGAGUGCUUUUUUUCCACUGUCUGUGCAGAUAACAUCAGCACCAUACUUCUUCAGUGCAGCAGCAGCUACUCUAAGGUUCACGUUGUUGUCGUCCACAAUCAAAAUUUUUCUCCCCUGAAGGAGCUUGGAAAGAGAGAUACCAGAGAGCUCUCCAUUUGUACAAUUUCCCUUGUUACCAACGCCCAUGGCACGUUGGAGUGAUGCAGCAAGCAUACUUGCUCUUAAUGGCUUCAUGAUGAUAAAUGGAGUAGGAAAACCGUUGACUGAGACACCCGCUCGGCUAGAAUUUAUAGAAUUGGCUAAUAUGAAAAGUUUGGGAGAACUACUGGCGUUGAUCUUUCUUAAGUUUUUGACAAAAAGACUUGACUUUCCCAAAUCAGCAUCCCAGACUUCCUGUUCAAUGAGGAUCAUAUUCGUAACUCCAUUUUCAGUUCUUACAUGAGACAAACCACGAUUCAAAUCUGAGACCACUUCAGUAUGGACUCCAAGUCGUUUCAUGUGAUACUGUGAGACCCUUGCACGGACAGUUCUUGGGUCGACAAUUAAGGCUCUCAAGCCAUGGAAAUCUGAAGAAAUAGAGUUCGAUUGAUUGUUUAUUUGCUGGCUCUUCUUCUCAUUCCAAUUAUUGCGGCUAUUGGUGAAAACAGCAGUAAAAGUAAAGGUGGAUCCAAUCUUUGGCAAACUUACAAACCCAAUUUCACCUUUCAUAAGCUGUACCAAACAUUUGCUUAUGCUAAGUCCAAUACCAGUUCCCCCAUGGGUGCGAGCAAUAGAAGGACCAACCUGCAUGAAGGGGGUGAAUAUACGAGAUUGAGCAUCUAAAGGAAUUCCAACACCAGUGUCUUCUACUGACACCAUUAGAUUGAUCUGGUCCGACGAGGAAGAUGUGAAAGAAGAUCCUUCUUGAUUGAAACCCAUGAAACUUCUCCAGCUCUGUCGCUUAUCGGCUACAGGCGAUCCACUCAAAGUGCUCUUGAACAAUGAAUUCACCUUGAACUCCUCGGCUGACUCUGUCACUUCCUCGACGAGAUGGACCGUCACAAAUAUAUGACCUUUUUCAGUGAAUUUGAUAGAGUUCCCCACCAAGUUUGUGAUAAUCUGACGAAACCGUCCAGGGUCACCAAUGAGUACAUCAGGAACCUUAUCAGAGAUGUAACCGGCCAACUCAACUCCUUUUUCUUGAGAUUUCCCCGAAAAGAGUGACAGAACCUCAUCCAGCGUAUCUCUCACGUCAAAACAAACUGCGUCGAGCUCAAGCUUACCAGAUUCAAUCUUUGCUUGGUCCAAAACCUCAUUUAUGAGCGAAACUAAAGCUUUACCACUGGCCUGAGCAGUGCUGACAUAAUCUUGUUGCGUCACAUCUAGAUUGGUGUCCGUAAGCAUAUGAAGCAUGCCAAGAACACCAUUCAUGGGGGUCCUGAUUUCAUGGGAAACAGUAGCAAGAAACUGUGACUUUGCAACAUCAGCAGCCUCUGCACGUUUUUUCAGCAUCAUCAUCUCAUGAUAAUCAUCCUCAACUUUGGCGAUUCUGUUGAUGGUUGCAUGAAAUAUUUGCCCUAUAAGCAAUGCAAUUAUGAGGAUUCCUGUCGCUGUUGUGAUGGCUAGCCAAGGCCACGGUGGUUUCUGUUUGAAUCUGCAACGCAUCUCAUGCCUUCUAAAUGGAUCCCCAAAGUUGAGGGCACUGACAUGCUCCAGACCAUCACCCGACACAUUUGAACCAUACAUGCUAAUAGGGUGGGAGAUAUUAGUUGUAUCAUAGACGUUUACAAGGAUAGUUUGUUUGCUUGCAAGUUGCUGAAGAAGCUUCUCUACAAGUGAUUCAAUGUCAAGUACUCCACCAAGAUACCCGUCAGUUGCCUGGAUCCUUUCAUUUGGAGUUG